rnacentral:lncRNA from 1 species
GCACAAGCUCAUAGGCUGUAAAGGUUCAUCCAUUGCAUCUUCACCUUUUUUUCCUGAUCAAAGACCGUAUUUCAAAGGUUGCUGGGGAUGCAGAAACUCUUUUAGCAAAUCUUCUGCCCUUCUUCAUCUCUGCAGGCAGUGGUGUUAUCUCAUUUUUUUUUCUCUUUUUUUUUUUUUUUUUUUUUCAGGGAAAGCUGAUGUCCUGCCCCCUUCUUCAAAGGUGCUGGUGGACGCUGUGAUCCUUGAAAACGUUGAGUGCAGAGCCAGGAAGGCUGCGAUGCUGACGACCAGGCUUGACUCUUCCCCAACGCUUAGAGCAAGGGAAGGCAGCGUGAUGUCUAGGGAGCAUCCUGGCAUCUCUGGGGCCGCCAUUCAGAGCAGACUAGCAGCUAAUGAAUCCCAGAAUCAUUAAGGUUGGAAAAGACCUCCAAGGUCAUCUGGUCCAACCAUCCAAUAAAGAUAUGUAGUUAUUAGCA